UACGGAGGGGGUUAGCGUUGUUCGGAAUUACUGGGCGUAAAGCGUACGUAGGCGGACUGGAAAGUUGGGGGUGAAAUCCCGGGGCUCAACCCCGGAACUGCCUCCAAAACUUCCAAUCUAGAGAUCGAGAGAGGUGAGUGGAAUUCCAAGUGUAGAGGUGAAAUUCGUAGAUAUUUGGAGGAACACCAGUGGCGAAGGCGGCUCACUGGCUCGAUACUGACGCUGAGGUACGAAAGCGUGGGGAGCAAACAGGAUUAGAAACCCUAGUAGUCC
rnacentral:rRNA from 1 species